rnacentral:lncRNA from 1 species
UCCUUUUACAAUUAAAGUGAAGUUGAUUAUUUAUAUCCUCUAAACAGUUUAGCUCCUUAAAGACCAAUAGUGACUCCACAAGAAGAUCACGAACUGUUAUGAACCAAUGAUGAACACCUGUGUGCUUCUGUAAUAGCUUACACACUCAAACCUAAACUUACUUCUAUACUAGCUUAUCUGCUCAGACUAGACUUACUUUUAGCAGGUAUGCAUAUCAAACAUCACUAGGUUCAAACAAGAGAAGAGUAAACAGAUGAUCAUAAAAAGGGAAAUAUAAGAUACAUUGCAGCAAAAAUUACAGACUAGCACAUCAGAAUUUAUGAGCUCAAAAGUUUUCAGCAAGAAUUUAGUAGGAUUAUAUACCAAUAGAAGGAUGAUUACCAUCAUCAAUAUGAGGCAAAGGUCGUCAUGCCGCCAUAAUAGGAGAGCUUCUCCCCGUCGCCAUCAUGAUAACCCUCGAGACAAGAAACACCACGUCAACCACUAUAGUCAAGACAUGGAAUUCAGGAACAGUGAGAGUCAGCACAUCACCUACGUCAAUUGAGAUCUCGAUCGAUCUUUAACGACAUCCAUAGGUCCAAGAUCCUGUAUGCACGUAGCGACAUCAGUUGCCCGCAGGGUCGCAUUCCCAUCCUUAUCAAGACGUGAACCAAGAAACAAAGAAUAAUUAGAAAUUAGAAGACUGACUAGGGCUUGUUGCGAUACGUGUGGAAGCAGAUCUAUGUGGAAUGCAUCUAUGGGUCCAAGAUCCAGUUCCCAUACAUCGACCGAAGAAGUCACGGGUGGCUUCUGCCACGAGUCGCAGAGGCACAGUCCCACACACAAGAAUCAGGAAUCAAGAAUACAAGCUAAGUGUCCAAGAUUCAGUACCCACAAGAUUUUACCCAAGAAGUCUUGGGGAGAGCUUCAGCCACCGUCCAUAGGGGCACAAUGCCACCCCCAUCGACACGUUCCUCCAUCCGUGCAACAGAAUAAUAACGAAUCAAGAUGACAAGCAGAUCUCGACGGUCUGCAUCCGAGCGUCACCCAAAUAGGCACAUCGAUUGGACCAAGAAGAGCCCCUCAUGGGCACAUUCUCACCCUCGUCGACGCGCCAGUCCCGAGGAACAGACGGAAACAGAAGAAUCAAGAAGACAAGUUAGGGUAUGGUGGAGUGCCUGCGGAAGCAGAUCGGGAUGGGUCUGGAUGUCGAGCAGGGCGUCGAAUCCUUGGCCUUGAGGACGUCCUCGUACUUGGCGGGGCGGCGGAGACGCGGGGGAUCAUGGAUCUGUAUGCGAUCGCAGGCGCCUUGAUGGGGCCGGUGGUGGUCACCACCGCGAGGCCCGGAAGAAGGAAGAUCAAUCACGCUGGGCGAAGAGGAGGGAGAAGGAGGAGGACGACGGGAGGAGAAGAGGAGGGAAAGAUCGGAGUCGGCGUCGACGCCGACCAAUAGGUAGGUCGCGAUCAAGUCGAAGGCAAACGUGGGCACGGCAACCAAUCAUUUCGAUCGCAACCGAAUUAUAGGGUCGUAACGACGGUGGGAAUAAUGGAAGGAGGCACUCUGCUCCACGACGUGAUUUAAGAACCGACUUAGCCGACGAGAAGCAGUGUUGGCACACAUCAGCAAUCACGCUUUCCGAUCGGGCUUAAAAAGAAAGAAAUAAGAAU